rnacentral:tRNA from 1 species
GCCUGGCUAGCUCAGUUGGUAGAGUGUGUGAUUCUUGAUCUCCAGGUUGUGGGUUCGAGCCCCACGUUCGGUG